AUACCUUUCUUGGCCUUUUGGUCAAGAUCAAGAGUAGUAUGUUUUUAUCAGUUUAAUAUCUAAUACAAAUACAAUUUAUUCAACAAAAAAUAAACUUUAGACAAGGAAUAUUCAAAUUCCUACUAGAUUCCUAUGGAAGUAAACUGCUCAAGGGGCGUCUCUCACCGGCUGGAUCGGUUGCUUCCAACGGCU